UUCAGACCCCUCUGUAAGUCACUCUGGAUAAGAGCGUCUGGUAAAUGACUUAAA
rfam:Salmo salar isolate Sally breed double haploid chromosome ssa17, whole genome shotgun sequence.